CCUACGGGGGGCAGCAGUGAGGAAUAUUGGUCAAUGGACGAGAGUCUGAACCAGCCAAGUAGCGUGAAGGAUGACUGCCCUAUGGGUUGUAAACUUCUUUUAUAUGGGAAUAAAACGUUCCACGUGUGGGAUUUUGUAUGUACCAUAUGAAUAAGGAUCGGCUAACUCCGUGCCAGCAGCCGCGGUAAUACGGAGGAUCCGAGCGUUAUCCGGAUUUAUUGGGUUUAAAGGGAGCGUAGGUGGAUUGUUAAGUCAGUUGUGAAAGUUUGCGGCUCAACCGUAAAAUUGCAGUUGAAACUGGCAGUCUUGAGUACAGUAGAGGUGGGCGGAAUUCGUGGUGUCGCGGUGAAAUGCUUAGAUAUCACGAAGAACUCCGAUUGCGAAGGCAGUUCACUGGACUGCAACUGACACUGAGGCUCGAAAGUGUGGGUAUCAAACAGGAUUAGAUACCCCUGUAGUC
rnacentral:rRNA from 1 species